rnacentral:lncRNA from 1 species
GCCCUGACGAGGUCAUUUUCUACCCUGCCAGAGUCGGGAAGAGUGGCCCAGAAUCCAGGCAGCUGGCCAAAGACCGAGGGGCCUGCCGCGGUGGCGCUCGCCUGUAAUCCGAGCGGCUUGGGAGACCAAGGCAGGAGGAUUGCAAGUUCAAAGCCAGCUUCACAACAUAGGGAGGCCCUGUCUUAAAAAGCAAGCAAACGAGCAAAACCCCGAGGGCUCCAUCCGGAGCCCCGCGCAUUUCUUGACCAGGUAGCACCCGGGAUGUCUUCAGUUCUUGGCAGCUGUAAGAUCUCUGCAGAACAGUGGAAUUACGGUUUGCCUGUUCUGCUCUUGGCCUCAGGCUCGCAGCUGACAGAGGUCCGAGGCCGCAUCUUCCCGCUUCCUCCUGCGGCAUCGCGCGCCCGGAGCUCGGCAGGGACCCGCUGCGGCUGCGUGUCCGCUCAGAGCACCCUGGGGUCAGGGUGGACGCGGAAGCACAGGACCACAGGUGUGAGUGUGCACGGGUGCGCGUAUGCACGGGCGGCCACGGGACACCGGCUGCGCUGGGCACCUGCUCCGUGCGCGGCGACGGUCAGCUGUGCCAGGGCGCCCCCUGCCGACGACGCUGCCCUCGCGGCCCGAGCCCUUACCUGCCGCGCUCCUCCGGAAGCGACUGGAGCGUUUGAAGUGGCCCAGGGCGAGCCGUGCACGCACCAGGUGAGCUCUGGGCGGCGUGCGCGUGCCUGGCUCACCCGCAGCUCCCGCCUGCCUGGGGCGCGGAAAGUCAGGGUUUUACUGGGAAGGAAGUGUAGCCCGAGGCCUGUCUGGAGUUUGGAAGCGUCUGGCUCUCCUCCUCGGGGCUCUGGAGAGAAAGCCCGGAACCCUGCGUUCCUGCAGGUCCCGUGCAGACACCGCUAGUGUCUUCUACGGUGGGCGGCAGAGGCAAAGCCAGGGCUGAUCCUCGGAGAGGAGGCGCCCUCCUGUCCACGGGCCUGGGGAGGGAGGAGGUGAAGUGGCCGCCAGACAUCGCUGGUGCUUGUGCUGAGAAGGCAAGUCUGUUUCAGCACUUCCGAAAUACUAGGGGGCAGUUUUGUCAACGUGCAGAUUUUACCUCUGCCUCUGGACGGGUGCUUGCUGGAGAGGGAGAAGAGGAAACCUGGGGAGCGGAGAUCAAUGGGAAUGCCAAACUUCUCUCAGGCUCGGACUCCAGAUGUCCUCGUGCUGCCCCGUGAGCCGUCCCACCCCGUCUGAUGCAGCACCUGAAGGGUCCGGACGUGCCACCCUUGGAAAAUGGUACUUUGCAUGCUGGAUAUUUCAAACGGGAGGGAUUUGAGGAAGGCAGGUGCGGAAGGUCUCUCUGACCACCAGGUUGUAAGACCUUUAGGUGAGAGAUGCCCUCCCUCAACCUGGAGGAAAGGAGCAGCCUGUCUCCAAAGACUGAGGAGGAGGAGGAGUGGUGCCUAAGCAGGGACCUCAGUUCCCAGCGAGCCACCCUUAGCCCGUCCUUUUCUCCAUCCUGUCCCAUUUAUUCCCCAUGACUUUCCACUCCUCGUACCAGGGGAGGAGGGGUCUUUCUUGGUUCAUUGUGGAGGCUUCCCUGUCACCUAAAACUUAUUCAAUAGAUAGAGUGUACCUUAAAUGAAUGUGUAUGCUUUUGUUUUAAUAUGUCUUUUGUUAUCAGGGCCCCAGCAUGAACCUUGGAUGGAGAGAAGAAAGACAGGUUUUCUUUCUGACCCAACUCCCCAUGUGACCUGGGGGACUCUGCUUCCACACUCCACAGCAGCUCCAGGCCCACCCUCCUGUGCCCACCCUCACUGAAGUCACCAGGACCUUUGCAGGGGAGGGGAAUAUUCAGACACUCAUGGAUGUGUUUCUUAAAAACGUGUGGAAGUGUGGUCAUGUUUCCAUCAGGCUUUUCCAACGUGUCGCCAAUGAAAUAUCUGACUGCUGUGCCCCGUGGGGUUUAAUGUGUUAGACUGCACAGCUUGGUUACUUUUAGGGAUGCACAGGAUGUAUUAUAGCAGGCUGAACACCACACACACACACACACACACACACACACACACACACGUGCGUGCGCAGGACGCGGAGUCCAAAUUAUGAGAACUCUGGUAAUUCAAGCUUUGCUACAACCUCUCUGCUCCAAGAACAUAGCUAUGAGAUCAAAUUCAAAAAGAGAAUAUUAAAAAAAGAAGACCAGUGUCUUCUGGGUCAGAAAAAAGACACAAGAACAGGGCAUCAGCAGGGCUGAAGUUGAGGUCUCCCCAGGAACUGUAAGCAGGAUGGUACAAAAGGUGAAACUAAUAAUAGCCAAGUUAGGAGCAUUUCGGGAAGCACAGCACGUCCGCAGUGCCCCUAACAGAGACCUGAGAUGAUGGCACGUGGGCUUACCUUAGUCCAUAGAGAGCUGAAAUGGCAAGAGCUAUGUCCAUCAGCAUGACGGUGCCCAAAAUACUACAGUGGGGCAGCCACUUGAGAAGGAAAUAAAGUGGGACACCAUUAAUUCAACAUUUAAAAACAGUAGAUUGGUAGUUGGCCAAUUAUUGCCUGAGGACCAAAUUCAACCUGCUGCCUGUUUUUAUAAAGUUUUAUUGGAACAGAGCAUUCACACUUUGCCUGUAGCUGCUUGCACACACAGGGGCAGAGUCAGACCAUCAUGGCAGAGACCAUUCGGCCAUAAAACCUGAGAUAUUUACCUCUGGUUCUUUGUAGAAUAGGUUUGCCCACCUCCGUGACAUACUAUUUAUGGACGUGCUUAUACACACACACACACACUCUAACACAGAUUUGUGUUGCAGAUAUAAAAAUUAAAAUAUGCUUUUGAUUAAUACAAACUUUGAGAGAGAGGAAGGAAAGUGGGGCAAUGUAGGUGGUCUUUUCUCAUUGGAAAAAAAUUUCUUAAGCAAAUGUGGUAAAGUAUUGAUUUGCCUAAAAUGGGUAAUGAGUAUACAAUUAUUUGUUAUAUUUUCUAUACCUUUGAGUAUUUUUAAAAUAUUUCACAAUAAAGAGUAUUGAGACGGUAAAAGAAGAAUUAGGUUGAUCUGCGCAUCUGAACUUGAAUGGUCCCAGCUGUAUUCUUAUGAGACAAUGUCAAGGUGCAAUGCUGUGGGUCCCUCGUGCUGGAGUUUGUGUGGACAGAGGGAAGCGACCCCUCUUUACAAAAAGAGUAACUUUAAUAAUACCAUUUUGUGUUUUUGGAAUUUUCUACCAUGUGAAUGAAAAAACAAUAUUAAAAGAAUGCCUAGGAAAGUAGCACUUGUG